UUUUAUAAAUUUAUUUCAUUUUACAUUUAAUACAAAAAAAUAAUACACUCUUGAUUUACCACUUUCACUGUGACUCCUAUAAAAAUUAAUACAGUGUUAAAAUCCCAAAUAAACCAUGAAAUUAAUUUCAAUGAGUCUGAAACUGGUAGUGGUAGAAUUUGAAAUAAAUUGUAGGGAACUUAAAAAUGCCUUUUUUAUAUGCACCUAUAUUUCAAGCCUGCAUCACUCUAAUGAUACAUACUUACACAGGUACAGCACUGUAAAUAUGUAAGGUCUCAGUCUUCUAGGGUUCACUAACAAGCCUGUAACACUCCAUUGCAGGCAGCCCUUCUGGGCCCAGGGUGCACCUUGGAGCACACCAGUUAAUACUAAGCAUUUGCAACAUCUGUCUGUAAAUGGGAGAAUGCUAUUAACUUCUGUGAAGAAUUCUGAGCUCAGUGGAUUAAAAUUUCUGAUACUAUUAAUGAUAACUUGUAUAGGUUGUGAAAUACCUGAGAGCACAAGGCUGAAUUUGUGACUGAUUCUCAGCUCUGGCACAGCCUGGCUGUGAUGAGUUGCAUGGCAACUCCUCUACAAAAAUCACUCCUGUUCAAAGGCAGUCAAAGAAUUUCUGGGUGGACUUCCUGCUUUUCACUGCAGCUCUUAAUGUACAGUUUCUGAAAUGAUAUCAUCAAGAAAUAAAAAAAACCAAACAAAAACAAGCUGAAGCAGUGCUGAGAUGUUACUGAGAAAAUGUGAGAAUAUUUUUUGAAAGAAAUGGAGAUUUUCUACUCUGACCUGCAGGCUCAGUGUCUGAGUUUUUUGCCUAUUGCCCCUCAGCUCAUGGAAACACAAAGUAAUACAAGUUAGCAAAGUUAUGUUGUACACCUUAAGAGGGGAGAAAAUAAAAGGAAUGUAAUUUUCCAUCACUGUUGAAUUGUUAAACUAUUCAGCCUCUAUCAUACUUGUACCACAGAACAUUCUAUAUUCCAGUAACUGAAAGAUAAACAUAUUGGAGUUUUACGGAUAUACUUAAUUUCUUUACCACUGACUUUUUUUUUUUUUUAAUUCAGAAUCAAUGAAUGAAAAACCUGACUGUCAUCUUUGUUGUGCAGUUGUACAUAGAAGUAUUUCUUCCAGGCAUCAUGAAUUUAUGCAGGCAAAACUUGAAGUUUUCUGGUUUAUAUGAAAGCUAUUUUAAUCCAUUCUUGUCUCUGGAGAGUGUUUUUAGAUGUACCUGCCACUGAAUUUUCAAGACUUUAGGAUGAAUACCUCAGUCAGAGUUUCAAAAGAUCUUAUUUUCUAAGGACUGGAGUAAGUAGUUUGAUUUUUCAAAAGAGUCCUAAUAACCAAUAUCUUUAGAAAAUCUACUGGUGGUGUCACCAAGUGUCUCAACUGAAAUUUUUUUUAAGUCCAGCACCAUUAUGAGCAUUGAGAAUUUGAACACUGGGAUCCUAAGUGCCCUUAGUGAGGUUUCCACUGUUUUUUAUUGAUUAAAUAGUGCCAAUUUUUCAGUGUUACACACUAUCAUAUAUGUACUGUAUGUACAUAUCUCUUCACCCAUGUGACUGUAGUAGAAAUUUGAAAAGACUGUUUGAUGUGAAGGGAAAACAUCCGAGAACUUUGUGAGUUUGAAAGUAGCAGAAAUUAUAUAGAUACAAGCAGUGCCUGUAGUGGGGAUGAUUUUUUUUAACUUUUAUUUUUUUUAAACCAUGUGGAAAAAUCUCUCUGACUAGUUUCAGAUUACUACUUCUUGUGAGAAAGAUGCAAUCACUGUCCUUUGGUAUAUUUCAAAGCUUUGUAGUACUCAAACACUCCAUGCAGGAAAUGUGCCUUCAAGGUAAGAAUACGUUUACUCCCUGAAGCGAUUCUCACUUUCAGUCCUCUUUCUAUUUCUCAUUAUGGUUUUAAUAUUUUUAAUGUGGUGAGACUUGAGGUAUUGCAUGGAAUUUUGCCUAGAAACAUAAAGUGUCUUUGAUCACAAGGGGUAAAGAUGAAUAAUAUCUCCAGGCAGCUGAGCUUAUUUUAGUUAAUGUCUCUUACAUUUAUUAACUAUGGACACUCUGCUAGAAAAGGAAAAUGGGUGAAUUCAGCUGAGAAAUACUAAAACUGACUGAUGUUAUUUUUGUUCUUGCUUUUAUUUAGAUUUAAAUUUAGUCAUCCUAUGAAGGAGUCAGCAGUAUCAUUAUAAGCACUGCAGAAAUAAUUUUCAUUCUCUGGUGGGUUGCUGGCUGACAGUUACUUGAUAGGAUGUCCAACACCUAUCCACAUUAUUUAGUAGCUGCUAAAACUCCCUCUGGAACAGAUCCCUCUCAGGAUAGAGAGCAAUUGUACGUGAAAGAGCAUGAAAGCAAGUGGAAAAGGUGUACAAAGUUCAGCCUGGAGGUGCUUGUUAUUUUGCUUAAAAUUCUCAGUAAUUUCCUUGGCCUUUCAGUAUACUAAUCAAGUUCAUGACAAGUCACUUAUGCUCCAGAUGGUGAAAAAUUUCUUUCAGUGACUCUUAGCAGUUUGUGUGCAUAGCUGUAUUAAUCUCUAGAACUGACCAGCACAAGAAUUUGCAGCACACAGAGAUCACUUACAGAUGAUGUACUUAGCCUCUUCUGCUACUAGAGUUAAAUCUACAUCAGGACCUGUCUAAGAUACAAAAUUUUGUGCUAACAUGCACAGCUGUUCCUAAUGUUCCUGUUUUUGUUCAGUCAGCCAGCCACCCCUCACACAUUCAGCCAUCCAUCGUCCCAUCCAUCCCACCCUCCCUCCCUCUCUCCCUCUCUCUCUCUCUCUCUUUCAUACUUGCAAUUCAUUCUUUGCACUAUUGACAUUGAUUUGUUUAAUUAUUGUUUUGUAACCUGUUCCUACAUUCUUAUUUUGUAAAAUAAGUAAGUCUAUACACUGGCUAACUUCAUAGAAGUGGUUUAUUUUUUUUUCUUUAUAUCAGUUGAAAUGGGAUGUCAUGUUUUGUUUAAACUACGUGAAAACUUAAAUAAAUGUUAAGAUCAAACAGCAUAUCCCCAUUUUCACUGUGAAAUUGAAGUCAUACAUGCUGUAUAUUCUGAUAAAUGUGAGGUCUUGAAUUCAGAAGAACAAAGGGAAUAUUUUGAAUGGCAUAAAGGACAAUAUAAAUUACAAGUAAUGGGACUACAUACAGAAAAUAGCAUUACUUCAUUUGAUCAUGCAGAUUGAACAAUAGACUGCAAAGGAAAUAGAGCAGGUCUAGAGCUUGAGCCACAUAACAGUGUGGAGUAGUAACAUAAUAUGGAAGAUGGUCCAGCAUUUGAACAAAUCCAUCCUGAAACAAAGUAAUAGAGGAUUGAAGCCUCUGUUCAGUGGUCUCUUCUUUCACCACUAAAAACAGGAGUAUAUGAAAGUAUGUGACUUAAUUGAUCAGAAUGUCUGUUUGCAAAGCAACUAUAAGGUCUAGAGUAUGUAGAGUCCUCUGCUAUGAUUCUCUGUGCUCUUUCAAAGUUCAGUAAGUAAUGCCAUGUGUCAUUUCUUACAUCUUUCCACUUUCUCAGUCACUGAGACCCAUUUCAGUCUGUUGUUUUUCUCAAAAGCAUUCCUUAUAUCAGACUGAAGAGCUGGGCACUUCUCUUGGCCAAAUAAAAUCAGAUAUCGUAAAUGCUGUUCAGAGUAUUGCCCUGGGCUCAGUACAACUGACAGUAAGUCAAGCAUUUUAUAGGUUCAGAAAAUGGGGGUAGACAAGGUACGAUGCCUCGUUAUUUAAGAGUAAAUCAGGUCAGCCAGAAAAAACAAGGAAAGUUAGGAUUUGGGGGCUUGUGUACUAACAGUUUUUUACUACAAUUCAGAUACUCAGUGACUUUUGGAAAUAAGCAUAUAAAAUUGUUAGGGCAGGAUUUUAUUAAUCCUGAUAGCUUGCUAAUAUGCAUAAUGUUUUUUAAAAAGAAAAAAAAAAUGAAAUUUUAAAACCAAGGAGCUCAAAGUUCCUUGGCAAUUGUGUAAUCCUUAGAGAUAAGUGAAAAUAACAGCCUGCAAGAGAUGGAGAAGUCAGAGUAUCAGUGCAAUGCAUACCCAAACAGAAGACAUCGCUAGAGUGAGACAGCGCAAACUGGAGAGUUAAAAAACACGGUUUUCUUUCGGUACUCUCAGUUGCCGUGAUUGCCCACCCUGAGAUAUUUUGCAAUUGCAAAUUUUUAAGACAAUAAGUGAUGAAGGUCACAGCUGGAGAUGAAGCAAAAGAUGGAGGAGCAGCCAUUGUUUCAGCUUAGGUGCAGGUGUGGGUCACAGCCGAUGUGUCUGAAACAUCAAGUGGCCGAGUCCCAGUUUUGAUACUGCGACUUUUGGUCACAGUAUCAACAGCCUAACAGCAAUUGCUGUAUAUAAAAAGGGAAUUAGAAUAGUACUAUAUAUACCAGCUAUGAAAGGUGUCCUUCUCAACUCUGAAUAAUGGGACAGCAAAGCCUAAUGGACAGGGGUGACUGUAGUACUGCCUUCAGUAGCACUGAGGUACUUCAACAAGUGGCAGACACAUGCUGGGGUUCAGGAGGUCUGGGCAGACUGGUCCUUCCCUGGUUGGGGACCUUCUGCAGCCUCCCAGUUGUUACUGCCCCAGAGGCUGUAGAUAAACUGGGAGCAGUCAGCUUAACCUAAAGAGCUUCUGAAGGAAAAGGCUGAAUACAGGCUGAAUACAGCUGAAAGUAACUUCUUAAACUGUGAGCCUCUUUUGUAAAGAUUUUCCUGAUGCAGGACUGAAAAGGAGAGCUCAACUCCUUUGUGGAAGCAGACAAAUUUGUUAGAGCAUGGUCACUUCAGCAGUUGUAAUAAUACAGAGAGUGUUCAGAUGGGAAUGAAGAGGGGAAACUUUGUGUCAGUGCAGAUACAGGCAGAGUAUCAGAGUUCUGACUUCAGGUCAACCAAAACAAAAGCAAAACUGCAGUUUUUAAAUGAGAUUAAGAGUUUAACUGCUAUGGCAUCCCCUGUGCCCAUCUCCCUUUUAUCCAAACCUUGUUUCUCACUGUUUGAAUUUUUUUCCCCCCAAACUGUUACAGGUACCCUUUGCCGUGUCUGUCAGAAAGUGACAGUUGGUGCAAGGGGAACACCCAGGGGGGUGCUGGUAGCAAAUGGGAUAUGCUGAAGUUACAAUCUCAGCAGAGAAAAAUGUGUGCUAAUACCUCAUGAAAUCCUGUGGCAAGUCAGGAACUAUGCAAAAAAAUGUGACUUGGGGAGUCCCAGUCUACAAAUACUGAUCUUGAGAACAAAUAAACAAAUACUGUAAAAAUUAAUAUGAAUAUUAUGAAAGACUGGAAGGCUUUUGAACAAAUAUAAUUAGAUAGGAAUAUAAUUUGGAUCGGAACAAUAUUUUCAAAAUCAGCUCUCGAAUUGUUCAGGGCCAGCAGUAACAGCAUGAUGAAAUUGCGAGAUGACUGACAUUUCUGCUUGGUAAGUUGGGGUCCAUGGUAUGGUCCUACCCGGAGAAGUCAACCACAGGUUGGAGCAAGGCCCUUGGCUGCGUGCUCACACUCCGUGGGUUCUCAGAAGUGAAGGGACUGUUGCUCUCUAGUUAGUGGUCGCUGCCAGGUUCCUGCCUGGAGUACUGACCUGCUGCACCAAGCAGCCUCAAUGAAUCACAAGUCUCACUGGUUUUCAAGACUGAACCCCGUGCAGAAUUUGGCCCAUUGUAAACCAGCUGGAUCUCAAAACUGGGUGUUAGAGUUGACUGCCACAGCUGAUUCCAUAUUUAGCUGAGAAAAGGACAACAGACAAAUUAAUUUUUCAGUGGUGUUGACUAGCCUUUUCACCCGAGUAGUCCUUACCUGUCUGCAGAGUCAUGCACAUAUUCAGUUUAAAUUUACAUCCAUAAAGCACUUCAAAUACCUCCAACAAAAAAUGCUGUCAUAGGGUAAUGUUUAACUAUUGUCCGUAAAAGACAAAAGCAUUGUGUGUGUUGUUGUCCUGGUUUAGGGACAGUGCAGUUUCUGAAAACAAAUUCUGUGCUUCUUGUUCCCUCUCCUUCGCUCUCAGAACCACCUUAAAGGUGUAGAACCUAAUAUCCAGCAUAAACAGAACAGGGACUGGGGAUACAAGCAUCAUAAAGUCACCCCAGGAUAUUUGUAUAGGUAUGCAAGGAUAUGUACAAUUAUGCAUUGAUGGAAAGAACAAUUCGACAAAAAGGUUUGUCGAAUUUUAUUUUCUGGACACUCUUAAAAGGGACAGCCACUCCCCACGGCUCCAAGGUAAGCCACUGUGGCUCAGGCCAAGUCCAGGCAGCCAAGCCCACUAAUCCUGUCUGGUCAACCCUCAUGCAGCUGCUGCCUCAUUCUGGAAGUACAAAAUUCCCAGAAGCUCUCAUAAAUUUGCAUGAAAGAUGUCUGCAAACACCAACUGUUCCUGUAUGACCCAGACUAUCACAGUUCUACACAGCCAAGUCCAGCCUGGGUUUCCAAGCCAGGUAUUCCCCUACUCUUCCUCUCUUGAGGAUUCCAACCUGCUGCUGUGCUCACAAUGAGCACUGUGUACUAUAAAGCUGUGCACUUGUCAGAACGCUACACUGCUGAGACCCAGCCACAGUGACCACUAAUCUGCCCAGAGUCUCAGUGGGAGAAAUGAGAUGGCUGAUGUCAGUAGACCAUAUUGCAAAUCUAGGAAGAUCUGUAGCGGAAGAUGAUGCUUAGGAUGGAAAAACUCUGUUUUGUCUAAAGCAGCGAAGCACGGAGUAGGAAGCAGCUGAGGGAAAAUGUUACCAUAGAGAAAGAAGACAAAGAGGGAAUGGAAGAAAACACAAUAAAGAGGGGAAAAUGGAAGUCAAGCCAGCUGGCAGAGCUCUGACAACCUUUUGCAGAGAUGGGAGAUCCUGUUGCCACUGAAUCAGUGAAAAACUAUUAAAAGCAGCCAUGCUGGAGAUCAGUAA